AUUGAACGCUGGCGGCAUGCCUUACACAUGCAAGUCGAACGGCAGCACGGGAGCAAUCCUGGUGACGAGUGGCGAACGGGUGAGUAAAGUAUCGGAACGUGCCCAGUCGUGGGGGAUAACGUAGCGAAAGUUACGCUAAUACCGCAUACGAUCUAUGGGUGAAAGCGGGGGAUCGCAAGACCUCGCGCGAUUGGAGCGGCCGAUAUCAGAUUAGGUAGUUGGUGGGGUAAAGGCUCAACAAGCCGACGAGCUGUAGCUGGUCUAAGAGGACGACCAGCCACACUGAGACUGAGACACGGCCAAGACUCCUACGGGAGGCAGCAGUGGGGAAUUUUGGACAAUGGGCGAAAGCCUGAUCCAGCCAUGCCGCGUGCAGGAUGAAGGCCUUCGGGUUGUAAACUGCUUUUGUACGGAACGAAAAGGUUUGGCCUAAUAAGCUGAGCUCAUGACGGUACCGUAAGAAUAAGCACCGGCUAACUACGUGCCAGCCGCCGCGGUAA
rnacentral:rRNA from 1 species